GCAGCCACUCAUUCAAAGAGUGCGUAAUAGCUCACUGGUCGAGUGAUCCUGCGCCGAAGAUUUCCGGGGCUAAAACUUACUACCGAAGCUACGGCAUCAGUAAUGAUGGGUAGGGGAGCUUCCCAUACGGGUUGAAGCAUGACCGUAAGGACAUGUGGACAGUAUGGGAGUGAGAAUGUUGGCAUGAGUAGCGAGAUGUGGGUGAGAAUCCCACAGGCCGUAAACCCAAGGUUUCCAGGGGAAGGUUCGUCCGCCCUGGGUUAGUCGGGACCUAAGCUGAGGCCGAAAGGCGUAGGUGAUGGACAACAGGUUGAUAUUCCUGUACUACCGAUAACCGUUUGAGAGAAGGGAUGACACAGUAGGAUAAGCUAAGCACACUGUUGGUUAUGUGUGCCCAAGCAUUGAGGCAGUCAAAGUAGGCAAAUCCGCUUUGAUAAUGCUAGGAUGUGAUGGGGAGCGAAAUUUAGUAGCGAAGUAGCUGAUUUCACACUGUCAAGAAAAGUCUCUAUCGAGGUUAAAGGUACCCGUACCGCAAACCGACACAGGUGGGUGAGGAGAGUAUCCUAAGGCCAGCGAGAGAACUGUUGUUAAGGAACUCGGCAAAAUGACCCCGUAACUUAGGGAUAAGGGGUGCCACCAUCAGGUGGCCGCAGAGAAUAGGCCCAAGCGACUGUUUACCAAAAACAUAGGUUUCUGCUAAGUCGCAAGACGAUGUAUAGGAGCUGACGCCUGCCCGGUGCUGGAAGGUUAAGGGGAUCUGUUAGAGCAAUCGAAGCAGUGAACUUAAGCC
rnacentral:rRNA from 1 species